AUUGAACGCUGGCGGCAUGCUUUACACAUGCAAGUCGAACGGUAACAGGCCGCAAGGUGCUGACGAGUGGCGAACGGGUGAGUAAUGCAUCGGAACGUGCCCAGUCGUGGGGGAUAACUGCUCGAAAGAGCAGCUAACACCGCAUACGAUCUAUGGAUGAAAGCGGGGGACCGUAAGGCCUCGCGCGAUUGGAGCGGCCGAUGUCAGAUUAGGUAGUUGGUGGGGUAAAGGCUCACCAAGCCAACGAUCUGUAGCUGGUCUGAGAGGACGACCAGCCACACUGGGACUGAGACACGGCCCAGACUCCUACGGGAGGCAGCAGUGGGGAAUUUUGGACAAUGGGGGCAACCCUGAUCCAACAAUGCCGCGUGCAGGAAGAAGGCCUUCGGGUUGUAAACUGCUUUUGUACGGAACGAAACGGUCUGGGUUAAUACCCUGGGCUAAUGACGGUACCGUAAGAAUAAGCACCGGCUAACUACGUGCCAGCAGCCGCGGUAACAC
rnacentral:rRNA from 1 species